rnacentral:rRNA from 1 species
AUUGAACGCUGGCGGCAUGCUUUACACAUGCAAGUCGAACGGUAACAGGCCGCAAGGUGCUGACGAGUGGCGAACGGGUGAGUAAUGCAUCGGAACGUGCCCAGUCGUGGGGGAUAACUACUCGAAAGAGUAGCUAAUACCGCAUACGAUCUAUGGAUGAAAGCGGGGGACCGUAAGGCCUCGCGCGAUUGGAGCGGCCGAUGUCAGAUUAGGUAGUUGGUGGGGUAAAGGCUCACCAAGCCCACGAUCUGUAGCUGGUGUGAGAGGACGACCAGCCACACGGGGAGUGAGACACGGACCAGACUCCUACGGGAGGCAGCAGUGGGGAAUGUUGGACAAUGGGCGCAAGCCUGAUCCAGCAAUGCCGCGUGCAGGAAGAAGGCCUUCGGGUUGUAAACUGCUUUUGUACGGAACGAAACGGCUCUGGUUAAUACCCGGGGCUAAUGACGGUACCGUAAGAAUAAGCACCGGCUAACUACGUG